rnacentral:rRNA from 1 species
UACGUAGGGGGCAAGCGUUGUCCGGAAUCAUUGGGCGUAAAGCGCGUGUAGGCGGUCCGGUAAGUCGGCUGUGAAAGUCCAGGGCUCAACCCUGGGAUGCCGGUCGAUACUGCCGGACUAGAGUUCGGAAGAGGCGAGUGGAAUUCCCGUGAGUGAGCGGUGAAAUGCGCAGAUAUCAGGAAGAACACCCGUGGCGAAGGCGGUUCUCUGGGACGGUACUGACGCUGAGACGCGAAAGCGUGGGGAGCGAACAGG